GACGAACGCUGGCGGCGUGCCUAACACAUGCAAGUCGAGCGGAGUUGACAAGUGGAAGUUUUCGGAUGGAAUCUUGCCAGCUUAGCGGCGGACGGGUGAGUAACGCGUGAGCGACCAACCUUGCACAGGGGGAUAACGGACCGAAAGGUUCACUAAUACCGCAUGAGACCACGGUGUUGCAUGACACAGGGGUCAAAGGAGGAAUCCGGUGCAAGACGGGCUCGCGGCCGAUUAGGUAGUUGGAGGGGUAACGGCCCACCAAGCCUAUGAUCGGUAGCCGACCUGGAAGGGUGAUCGGCCACAUUGGAACUGAGGUGCGAUCCAAACUCCUACGGGAGGCAGCAGUGGGGAAUAUUGGGCAAUGGGGGAAACCCUGACCCAGCAACGCCGCGUGAAGGAAGAAGGUUUUCGGAUUGUAAACUUCUGUCCUUGGUGAAGAGAAGAAGACGGUAGCCAAGGAGGAAGCCCCGGCUAACUACGUGCCAGCCGCCGCCGUAA
rnacentral:rRNA from 1 species